rnacentral:rRNA from 1 species
AUUGAACGCUGGCGGAAUGCUUUACACAUGCAAGUCGAACGGCAGCACGGGGGCAACCCUGGUGGCGAGUGGCGAACGGGUGAGUAAUACAUCGGAACGUGCCCGGUCGUGGGGGAUAACGUAGCGAAAGUUACGCUAAUACCGCAUACGAUCUGAGGAUGAAAGCGGGGGACCUUCGGGCCUCGCGCGAUCGGAGCGGCCGAUGUCAGAUUAGGUAGUUGGUGGGGUAAAGGCCUACCAAGCCGACGAUCUGUAGCUGGUCUGAGAGGACGACCAGCCACACUGGGACUGAGACACCGCCCAGACUCCUACGGGAGGCAGCAGUGGGGAAUUUUGGACAAAGGGCGCAAGCCUGAUCCAGCCAUUCCGCGUGCAGGACGAAGGCCUUCGGGUUGUAAACUGCUUUUGUAUGGAACGAAAAGGCUCUGGCUAAUACCUGGGGCUCAUGACGGUACCGUAAGAAUAAGCACCGGCUAACUACGUG